GCAUGUUCCAUGACAAAAGCAGAGAAUGAAUCAUAGUAAUAACUUACAAUUUUAUAGUGCUGGCUGUUGACAGCACCCAUUUGCAGGCCUUGUAUCAUGUAAUCCUCUUAAGAACUCAUUGAUAUAUCAUAGUCCACAUCUUGGCAAUAGAAAUCUCAGACUAUGAAAGAUUAAGUAGUGAUGUGCCCCAGGUCACACAGCUGGCAAGUGACAAAACAUUCCUUUGAACCUAAUUCUUCUAGGUCAUGCUCAGUGCUCACAACUUCCUGAGCAUUCAUUUGAAGGGCAGAAGAGAAGCUCACAUGGGAAAUAUGGGCUCACCUAGUAGCCAAUUGGCAUGCCUGGGAUGCCUUAAGCAAAUGGACAACUUGAGCCACGAGAGUUCUGCAAUUUGGGAGAAAUGCCUGGUGAAAUGGAAAUGCUCUGGGGAUAAAUUACUGCCAUGCUCAUACAAGAAGGCUGGUAUUAGUACAGAAACUGCCAAGUAUUAAAUCUACUAUGUCCAAGUUCUAUGUUAGACCGUUAUAUACAUCACAUACUUGAGAAAGGUCUUUUAAAUGAUGUUAUGUCUACAUUUCAGAUUAAUAAAGGGAUAUUGACAAAAUUUAAGUCCAAAGUUACCGAGAGAGCAAGUGAGGGCAAAUGUGUUUCCAUCCCAAUGCUGCUUGACUAUUUAGACAGUGCUUCCAUUGCCAGACCCUGAACAGAAGACGAGACAAACGAUACCUCCAGGCAAGAAGCUGGGGUAGAGAAACCACUUAACCUUCUACCUAACUUCGCUAGAUCCAGCUUGAAUUGCCAAUUAUGAAUGGCUCUAUUAGAAAAGCACACAAAGUCUCUGUUUCUUAUUUUUAUUUGAUUUGGUAAACACGCCUUCUAUACACUGUAUACUUUGCUGAGGCAGAAUGUGGCCUUGGUUGCUUUUCUUGAUCCAUCCAGAGGAUGGUUGUGAGAUGUGGCUCCUUACUGAGUGCCUUAAGGAACCAACUACACUGUGCUGAGAAAGGCAAGAAUAUAGGGCUCAUGCUGCUCUGUGAUUAAAGUUUCUUGGACAAAAGUUUACCUAAAGAGCUUUAUUGUUUCAGUGUCUUCUGAGAGCUAGUAUUCUGAGCAGUCUUGGGAAGGGAGUUAUUAUCUAGUGUAUGGAAUACUGUAGUCAGCUUCCAGCCUAGGUGAAUUUUAGUAAAAUAAAAUAAAAUUUAAAAGUGGGAGUAGAAGCUGGGUGACUUGCCCAUAUUUGCAUCUAAAGGCAGAAUCAAACAAUACCAGGCAGGUUCCCAAGUGCUGAGUGGAGUCCACAGCAAAAGCUAGUGGGAAACCAAACGGGGGUUUUUUAGCAGUGUCUCUGCUGAGUGCUCUGUCUAUUCUGUGCACAUUGAUUAAUCGGGAGGAAUAUACCAUUCAGAGUUCCCACUAUCCACUUAUUAUGUUAGUGCCUUAAAUAAAAAUGUAUAUAAAUAAGAUCCCAGUACUGCAAGAAAAUUUGUUUGGUUAUUUAUUUCUUAAUAACUGCCUUUGACAGAGUCUUAUGUCUGUACAAGACGUUAAGAAUAAGUGACAAUUGAGUGUUCUGUCCUAAAAAAGCUCCCAGAAGUAUUUCAGCAGAGGGAGCAGAAAGAGUAGAAGAGCUGAAAGAUAAGGAAGGACUGUGAGGUGUCAUCUUAUGGACCAUGCCAGACAUUGCAAUCACACACUGAUAGCAACUAUGGAUGACUUGAUGGGGUCUGUUGAAGAAUGACCAGGCAAGGAUGCAAGAGGGACACCAUGACCCUGCUGCUUCUUGCUGAAUUAUUUCCUGUUGAUAGAUUCAGGGAAAGAGGGAGGAGACAUCUCCUUCAGUAUUAUACCCACUGGUUAUCCUCUCAGGCUCCAACAGAUGGUCCCAAUAUAACAAGGAGGUCCUGGUUAAAUAAUAUAGACCAGACAAUAAAACCAAAAUGUAUAUAUCUGAGGAGGGAAUGGAAAAGAGUCAGUUUGGUAGGGGAGGUGGGGAGAUGAGUGAGG
rnacentral:lncRNA from 1 species